CGAACGGGGAGAUUCAUCGUCAGCGGACGCCGGCUUCGCGUCGGUCGGCGAUGUCCCGCGGGGGCCCUCGCGGCUCUCAGCGCGGGCACGCUGCCGUGCGCCGAUGUAUCCGGCUUCGCCGUCGUGCACUUCUCCCCUGGUAGAACGUCGCGACCCGCUGGGUGUCGGUCUACGGCCCGGGUGCGGUGUCUGACGCGCCGCCGGUAAAACGGCGCGCGUCAAACCCCCGGUCGCCCGGCCGGCUGCCCGGCGGUACGCGCAAGGUAUCAGGCCGCACACACAUUGGUGCGUCGAGGCCGUCGCAAGCGCGCGCCACGGUACACGGAGGUACGGACCUAGCGCCGUCACCGGUCCUGGCCCGCUGUUGGUCGUACGGUUAACCUUCGACAGGCCUACGAACGUCACAGCGUGGGGGUGUCGGGGGCUCGUCUCCCGCGCGCUCUCGCGUUGGCGACCGAUACCGGUCAGCGACGCUACUGCUUUGGGUACUUUAG
rnacentral:rRNA from 1 species